rnacentral:rRNA from 1 species
UACGAAGGGGGCUAGCGUUGUUCGGAAUCAUUGGGCGUAAAGCGCGCGUAGGCGGCCCUGUAAGUCCGUUGUGAAAGUCAAAGGCUCAACCUUUGAAAGCCGAUGGAUACUGCAGGGCUAGAGUCCGGAAGAGGCGAGUGGAAUUCCUGGUGUAGCGGUGGAAUGCGCAGAUAUCAGGAGGAACACCAAUAGCGAAGGCAGCUCGCUGGGACGGUACUGACGCUAAGGCGCGAAAGCGUGGGGAGCGAACAGG